UGGAGCGAUUUGUCUGGUUAAUUCCGAUAACGAACGAGACUCUGGCAUGCUAACUAGUUACGCGACCCCCGAGCGGUCGGCGUCCAACUUCUUAGAGGGACAAGUGGCGUUCAGCCACCCGAGAUUGAGCAAUAACAGGUCUGUGAUGCCCUUAGAUGUCCGGGGCCGCACGCGCGCUACACUGACUGGCUCAGCUUGUG
rnacentral:ncRNA from 1 species